rnacentral:rRNA from 1 species
UAGUAACGGCGAGUGAACCGGGAAGAGCUCAAAUUUGAAAUCUGGCGUCCUCAGGGCGUCCGAGUUGUAAUCUAUAGAGGCGUUUUCCGUGCCGGACCGUGUCCAAGUUCCUUGGAACAGGAUAUCAAAGAGGGUGACAAUCCCGUACUUGACACGACGACCGGUGCUCUGUGAUACGUCUUCUACGAGUCGAGUUGUUUGGGAAUGCAGCUCAAAAUGGGUGGUGAGUUCCAUCUAAAGCUAAAUAUUGGCGAGAGACCGAUAGCGAACAAGUACCGUGAGGGAAAGAUGAAAAGCACUUUGGAAAGAGAGUUAAACAGUACGUGAAAUUGUUGAAAGGGAAACGAUUGAAGUCAGUCGUGACCGAGAGGCUCAGCCGGUUCUGCCGGUGUAUUCCCCUCGGUCGGGUCAACAUCAGUUUUGUCCGGUGGAUAAGGGCGGUAGGAAGGUGGCACCCUCGGGUGUGUUAUAGCCUGCCGUCGCAUACAUCGGGUGAGACUGAGGAACGCAGCUCGCCUUUAUGGCCGGGGUUCGCCCACGUCCGAGCUUAGGAUGUUGACAUAAUGGCUUUAAACGACCCGUCUUGA